CUGCUGCCUCCCGUAGGAGUCUGGUCCGUGUCUCAGUACCAGUGUGGGGGACCUUCCUCUCAGAACCCCUAGACAUCGUCGCCUUGGUGGGCCGUUACCCCGCCAACUAGCUAAUGUCACGCAUGCCCAUCCGUCUCCGGAGUCGCCUCCUUUGGCCGAAAGAAGAUGCCUCCCCUCGGCCACAUGCGGUAUUAGGCCGGAUUUCUCCGGGUUAUCCCGCUGAAACGGGCAGGUUGCAUACGCGUUACUCACCCGUGCGCCGGUCG
rnacentral:rRNA from 1 species